GGAGUCUGGGCCGUGUCUCAGUCCCAAUGUGGCCGAUCAACCUCUCAGUUCGGCUACCGAUCGAUGUCUUGGUGGGCCGUUACCUCACCAACUAACUAAUCGGACGCGAGUCCAUCCUCAAGCGAAUAAAUCCUUUGAUCACCGGAUCAUGCGGUCCAGUGAUGUUAUGCGGUAUUAGCACCGAUUUCUCGGUGUUAUUCCCCACUCAAGGGCAGGUUACUCACGUGUUACUCACCCGUCCGCCGCUAAGUUAAAAGUGGUGCAAGCACCUCUCAUAACUCCGCUCGACUUGCAUGUGUUAGGCACGCCGCCAGCGUUCAUCCUGAGCCAUGAUCAAUCUCU
rnacentral:rRNA from 1 species